UACGAAGGGGGCUAGCGUUGUUCGGAAUUACUGGGCGUAAAGCGCACGUAGGCGGAUAUUUAAGUCAGGGGGUGAAAUCCCAGAGCUCAACUCUGGAACUGCCUUUGAUACUGGGUAUCUUGAGUAUGGAAGAGGUGAGUGGAAUUCCGAGUGUAGAGGUGAAAUUCGUAGAUAUUCGGAGGAACACCAGUGGCGAAGGCGGCUCACUGGUCCAUUACUGACGCUGAGGUGCGAAAGCGUGGGGAGCAAACAGG
rnacentral:rRNA from 1 species